CACGUAGGGUGCGAGCGUUGUCCGGAAUUAUUGGGCGUAAAGAGCUCGUAGGCGGUGUGUCGCGUCGGCCGUGAAAACCUGCAGCUUAACUGUGGGCUUGCGGUCGAUACGGGCAUUACUGGAGUUCGGCAGGGGAGACUGGAAUUCCUGGUGUAGCGGUGAAAUGCGCAGAUAUCAGGAGGAACACCGGUGGCGAAGGCGGGUCUCUGGGCCGAUACUGACGCUGGAGGAAGCGAAAGCAUCGGGUAGCGAACAGG
rnacentral:rRNA from 1 species